GAUGAACUCUAUGUGCUUUACGGGACAGAACCAAGAUGUGACUCAUUGCUCUGAGCUGUGUAAAGAUUACAUCUGCUUCAGCCAUGGAGGCUGGGAUGUCCGAUAAUAGACAGACAUCAGAGGUGGAGCUGGAAAGAGACAACAAAAAUCUGGACUCUUAAGGUUUUUAUUUUACCCGAAAUAAAUGUUUGUGCUCUCUGUGUAAUCUCAGGACAUCUGUCACAAUAAGGAAGACAUCAUAAUGGGAGCAGCAGGCUCUGCUUUCUAGAAGACUACAAUGGGAGUUUUGUGAGCUCAGCAGUUUUGUGAUGAAGAGAGCAGAAUGGCAGCAGUCAGGAUGGAGUAAUUUACAUUUCCUCCUUCCCUCUGCAGUGGUGCAGAUUGCUGCACCAUUCAGUGUGGCCUGCUGGGCUUCAGUGCAUAGGCCAUGGUCCCUCUCUCAUACAGCACCUCUGUGCUCAUCUGCUUGCAUGCACUAAAGGUUUUGUGAAAAAAGGACACAGGUCACUCACUACUAUAACCAGUAUAUCUGCUUGGGAAUUUUGUAUCUGUGAUAUUAUUAUUUCUUAAAAAUAUAUUCAUGGGGGUUUUUUGUACUCAUCUGGUUUUUUGUUUUGAAGAAGACUAAUGAUACUUGUUUGCUAGUGUGGAAUGGGACAUAAAU